rnacentral:lncRNA from 1 species
AAUUAAAAUAAAUAACAAGAACUAAAUUACAACGUGCGAAUGACACGAGGGACUAAAGUGAAACAAAAAUGAAAUAAAAGGUUAAAUUUAAAAAAAAUAAAAGAACUGGAUUGUAGCACGCAAUAAAAGCGAGGGACUAGUGGCGCAAAUAAGCCAUUUAACGAAAAUGCGCGGAUCCUCCCCGGGUCGGGUCAUCGCGUGGGUCGGAGGACUAAACGGUACCGUUUUGAGGCCAUUGAAACAGAGCUUAAACUGUAUCGUUUCAUUGCCUUCACAAAAAUAAAAAAAGCAAAACCCUAACACCUAUUUGGCUAUUUUGAAACAGAUCAGUAGAGAUCUCAGUCUCUCCGCCGCUUGAUCUCACCGUCCUUUUCAAAGACUCUCAGUCCCCGUCCACACUCCGAUCGCGACGAAGCGGACAGGGAUUCAACGACGCUGAAAUGAAGGUAAACUCUCUUGCGUUAUUUGCUUUUCUCUUCUCAAACAGUAAACAAACAAGGAAAAGAAUCAAAUAAUCGAAAAACUCAAAUCACCUUUAGAAACUGCUUUUCUAUUGCUUUUUAGAAUUUUUGAUACAAUCUCUCUGUGGGUCUGUGGGUUCCCCCUUUUUACAUUGUUUUUGGCUUCAUAUAUAGCCGAAUAAAAAAAAUUCUCUUUCUCUGCUAUUUUUGUUUUUCUAUUUCUUUUUUUUUUUUUGCUGCCUCUGUUGUGUUGCUCGUUUGUUUGUCCUUUGUAGGUGUCGUACGAAGGCUAGCUGGGACGUGGUGCGGCUCGGCGCAGCGCAUGGAGGCGCACGUGAGAGGGCAGAGCCUGAUUGCGGCGCGAUAGCUUGCUGCAAGCUGCUAGGGUUUCUAAUCCUCUUUGGGUGUUGGGCUGGGUGUAGUGGGCUAGGCUAGUGUUUGGGUCACUUUGGAUUUAGGCCUGCUAUUGUAACAAAAGAACUGAACAUUUUAUUUAUUUUAUUUUAUAUUUUGGUUUUAAUACUACGGCUCGGGUUUUAAUUCUUAUUGGGCCAUUCGGGCCAUUGUAAUUUUGGGUUUGUUUAGCUGGUAUGGGCCCGGGCAAAAAUGGGCUCUUACAACAGUGAUGAGAGGAAAUUGCAAG